rnacentral:sRNA from 1 species
CAUUCAUUUGUUUUUGUUUUUGUUGCAUUUGCUUUUGGGUUCUUAGUCAUGAAUUCUUUACCUAAGCCAAUGUCUUGAAGAGUUUUUUUGAUGCUAUCCUCUAGAAUUUUUAUGGUUUCUUAGAUUUAAGUCUUUGAUCCAUCUUGAGUUUUUUUGUAUAAGGUGAGAAAGGAGGAUUCCUGGCAUCCAUGAGGAAUAGCAUUUAUUCCUGGAUCUAAGUUUUGACUAAUUAAUGCUUUUAACAUUUUAAUUAAUGUGUUUAACCUCAAAUGGAUUUAUUGAAACCUUAAAAUACAUGCAAAAAUUAUAUAUGCUAAGAUUUUUUUUCCCUAUUUUUAUGUUACGUCCUCUAGAUUUGAAUUUACGUUAAGUGAAUUCCAAAGUUAGGAAUUGAAAUCAAAUUCCUUUUUUUAGGCUUAUGUUUUUAUUUCCACAGGUCCUGCUCAAUCUGGAAUUUUGUCAGAUCGUGAAGUGGUAAACCUCUUUCUUCAUUUUACUGUUAACCCUAAACCCCGAGUUGAAUACAUUGACCGACCAAGAUGCUGUCUCAGGGGAAAGGAAUGCUGCAUCAAUAGAUUCCAGCAAGUAGAAAGCCGCUGGGGUUACAGUGGGACGAGUGAUCGAAUCAGAUUCACAGUUAAUAGAA